rnacentral:tRNA from 1 species
AACUCUAUAGUCAAUAAAUGAUAUUAGAUUGCAAGUCUGAAGUAGUAUAAUACUAGGGUUU